rnacentral:rRNA from 1 species
CCUACGGGAGGCAGCAGUGGGGAAUAUUGGGCAAUGGGCGAAAGCCUGACCCAGCCACGCCGCGUGAAGGAAGCAGGCCUUCGGGUUGUAAACUUCUUUCAACAGGGAAGAGCGGAAGACGGUACCUGUCGAAUAAGCUACGGCUAACUACGUGCCAGCAGCCGCGGUAAUACGUAGGGGGCAGGCGUUGUCCGGAUGUACGGGGAGUAAUGGGCGUGUAGCCGGGCUGAUAAGUCAGAUGUGAAAUCCGGGGGAUCAACCUCCGAACUGCAUUUGAAACUGUUGGUCUUGAGUAUCGGAGAGGCAGGCAGAAUUCCUGGUGUAGCGGUGAAAUGCGUAGAGAUCAGGAGGAACACCAGUGGCGAAGGCGGCCUGCUGGACGACAACUGACGGUGAGGUGCGAAAGCGUGGGGAGCAAACAGGAUUAGAUACCCUAGUAGUC